rnacentral:tRNA from 1 species
GGGGAUGUAGCUCAGUGGUAGAGUGCUUGCUUAGCAAGUAUGAGACCUUGAGUUCAAUUCCCAGGACCUCA